rnacentral:tRNA from 1 species
AAAAAGAUAAGCUAAAAUUAAGCUAAUGGGUUCAUACCUCAUUUAUAAAGACAUUCUUUUCUUUUUA